AAAUAAAAAUAAAAAAGUCGAAAUUACCUUAAUACCCUUCAUCAUCCAAGUGGCAAAAUCGCACAAUUUUUUGAAUUCUUCCGCUUGGGUCCACCAAGACACAACAAACGAAUACAACCGUUAUAAGGGUAUCAUCGUAAAUAAAUCCAACUUCCAAUGGCAAUAUAAAGAAGCGCCGAAAUUUCAGAGUCCUCCGACGACACAGUCUCGUCCCCCGAUAAACUCAGCUCGGAAAACGAUAACACUUGCUCCUCACUUAAACGACAGUCGAAUUCUCCAUUACCCUUCAAAUUACAUUCCUACCCUUCUCUCCCGUUCAAAAUCAUGACCCAAAACCUCCACACCCACCUCGCCAUUCACUCCAAACUCGAGGGGUAGUUUCGUAAUUUAACAUAAAAUAAUAUAUUUUCAAAAACUUCCUUGCUCCAAAAAAAAAAAAAAACUCUCUCCUUGUAUACUACAAAACGAAAAAGGGUAGUGGUGUGGUUGUGUGUAUCGUUACUUUCGUGUCGCUCUAAUAGGACUUGUACUGUGUGCUGUGCGUAGUUGUACCUUCGGUUUUGAGCGUUUUUUUUAAAGCUUUGGCUGUUGUACAUUGCGGCGUUCUAGGCCUCUGUUAACCGGAGCUCUGGUUUUCCGAUUUAGGGUUUCAUCGCCUCCGAUUCGGAGUUCCUUCUCUGUUUGAUUGGAGGAGAUUCAUGGUGGUGUUUCGUUCACGUGACGCUCCGGCAUUGUAGAGAGAGAAAGCGGAGGAGAGUGAUUUAGAGAGAGAGUGAGAGAUAGUGUUUGCGAGAAUGGAAAUGGAAGAAGAUAUGGAGGUUGAAGCUGAACCAGUGUUUGAAGCUCAUGAAAUCGACCUCGAGUACGAGUUUGAUGCUGUACGGUUCUUUGAUUUCACUCGGGAGGAGACUCAUGCCGAGGCUUGUGAAGCUGAGUUGUGGUUCGAGUCCGCUAAGAGCUACCCGCCUUCUCCUUUUGUGGCGAAGUUGGUUCUUGGAGAGGAUGUUUUCCUGGGAAAUGUGAACGUUUCACCAAAAUCAGAUAGAGAGAAUCCGAGUUCUUCACUCUAUGGCGGUUAUCAUGUUGGUGGAGAUAAAGAAAUUUGUGCAAAUGACGUAUAUAAUGGAGAUUAUGAAGCAUUGCAAAGAGGGAUCUUUGGUAAUUUACAGAAAGUUUUGAAUCAACCACAUGGGUUAUCUACAGGAUUAUACAAUCACUUAUCAAGUAGCAAACCAAAAGGUAAAACUAACGCGAGGGUCAAAGCAUCUUGCAAUAGGAGCUCAACUUUAAUGAAGCCAACAGCAAGUCAGCUGGCUAAGCAAAAUCGACCUGCUCAAGUUGGUAGUUCCAGAUUUCAGAUGCUACCACUUCAAAACAAUGAGAAGAGCUUAUGUAGCUCUUCUGGAGUAGAAAAUCAGGCUCCUAAGAGGCAAAAGUUAGAUGGAGGUCAGUUACGCAAGGUCACUGAUGGAAAGCAGCAAACUACUUUUGUCCACAAGGCUCCUAAAAAGCAGGAUGAAAUCACUGAUAAAAAUGCUGUACAUGCCAAGUUGCGGCUUACUAUACCAAGAGAGCCUGAACUUGUUACGGCACACAGAGCACAAAGGACAAGGCCUAGGAGUGGAACAGAAAUUGACCAAGCGACAUCAACUGUUCGUAGAUUUAAAGCGCGGCCGUUCAACAAAAAAAUCUUCGAAGCUCCUUCAUUGCCACUUCCAAAACGGAGUACCCCAAAAUUGCCAGAGUUUCACGAGUUUCGCCUGAAGACGAUGGACAGGGCUAUGCAAAACGCAUCUUCAAAUUCUGUCUCAAAUCAUUGCAAUGAAUCUGACAAGGGGCAUGACAAAACCAGUACUUCCAGUGUUGUGGAAAAUGGAAGAAGGGAUUUCAGAAGACCAAUUGCCACUGAAGUUCAAAAACAAGAUGGAGAGGCAAUGCAUAGAUUCAAAGCUCUUCCUCUUAAUAAAAAGAUAUUUUCUAGUAAAGGAGACCUUGGUAUUUUUCGGAACAACAAGCGAGAAACAACAGUACCCAUGGAAUUUAACUUCCAUACCGAGAAGAGAAUUCAGCAUAAUCCACCGCCAACAGAUCUUUUUAGUAAGCUUUCUCUGACAUCUGAACUCCAGCCGAAUAAUGGAUCUCAGUUAAAAGUGCCCUGGUCCAAUUUUUUAUCUGGAAAGGGCUCAAAAGAAAAUAGAUUUGACUCUUUCAAGACAGAACAUAAGGUAAACAUAAGGUAGCAGCAGAUCCCAUGACCGAAAAACCUUCAAACUUUAGUCGAAAGCAGAUCCCAUGUGGGACUGAUGGAUGCAUCUCUGACCUGGGUGGUAAAUUGCAGACGAGGAGCUUUGGUAUCCGCUGAGGGUGUCAAAGGGGUCAGAGUCAGAUUUGUAUUUUAUUCUAUAGCUGCUGGACAAAAGAUUGGAAUACAAUACAUGCAGUAGUGAUAAUACAUUGCAGAACAACUCAAUGAAAAAUCGCUCUGCUGUUCGUUGUACAUGGAAAUUGACGGGAAGUCCACAUCGUCUUACCUUAGACAUACAUAGUUGGAACUAGUUUUUUGAAUUUUCCAAAGUUCCAAAGUUGUAGGUUUCAGUUCAAAUUCAAUAAUAUGUUGAAAGGCCGGUGUUGUACAGCCAUUGAAAAGGCCACCUUACCCUCAUAGCUUCUUUAAUCUUUUUCUUUCUACCAUCUUGGCAUGAAAUUGAUCAGAGUUGGUUCAGUUCAGAAAUAUACAAAGUAGUCUUUGCUUCU